AUGGCGCAGCUUCCUGCUGCCAUUGUAGCGUCAUCGGAGGGAAGUUCAUAUGUGAUCAAGAUAGACGGAUACUCAAGACUCAAGGGGCAAAUCGAGCAUGGAAACUACGUGCAAUCUACCCCUUUCACUGUUGGAGGUCACGAUUGGGCCGUGGAGUAUUACCCAAACGGUUGCUACGCCGAAAAGUAUGAAGCCGGUUUCAUAUCUGUUUUUCUAGCUCUGUAUUCUGAUGUUUCUAACGAUGUGAAAGCGAAAGUUGGAUUUAGUCUGCUUGACAAAGAUGGAGAACCACUGGAAUCAAAAAGCAUGAUCACCCAUGAGCAUAUCUUCGAUAGCAAAGGUUCAGACUGGGGUUUCUCUAAUUUUAUCAAGGUUGCUGAUCUCGAGAGCUCAGUGUAUCUAAGAGACGACAGUUUCAGCAUCAGGUGUGAUGUUACGGUUAUGAAGCCUGUCCAUAAAGUUAAUCGGUUUAUUGUGGUUCCUCCAAGUAACUUGCACCAGCAUCUCGGUGACCUCCUCAUCAGCUUGGAUGGAGCGGAUGUGACCUUUCGGGUUGGCGGGGAAAGCUUCUUGGCCCAUAGGUCCGUGCUUGCUGCUCGGUCAUUAGUAUUCAGGGCGGAGCUCUUUGGCCCCAUGAAGGAGAGUGGGAACAGUUUGAUUGAAAUUAGCGAUAUGGAAAGUGACGUGUUCAAGUCUUUGCUCCACUUCAUUUACACUGACUCGCUGCCUGUUCCUGAGACAACUGAUGAGGGUGAAACAGGAAGAGAGAUGGUGAUAGCUGGUCAUCUACUUGUUGCGGCAGACAGGUACAACAUUGAGAGGCUCAAGCUGAUAUGCGAAGAGAAGUUGUGCAACCUCAUUGACUCUGACGUCGUGGCGACUAGUUUGGCUCUAGCUGAGCAGCACGGCUUGCAUAGAAUCAAGGAGGCCUGUUUUGAGUUCCUCGCUUCGCCUUCCAAUUUGGAGACGAUGAUGGCAAGUGAUGGUUACGAGCAUCUGAAGAAUAGCUGCCCAUCUGUUCUCAGGGAGCUGGCUGCUAGCUUCCUGCCGGCCGAGCUGAAAGCGGUCAAAGAUAUUAUCAUGACAACUUAG
rnacentral:rRNA from 1 species